rnacentral:rRNA from 1 species
AUGCCAGACUCCUACGGGAGGCAGCAGUGGGGAAUAUUGCACAAUGGGGGAAACCCUGAUGCAGCGACGCCGCGUGAGCGAUGAAGUAUUUCGGUCUGUAAAUCUCUAUCAGCAGGGAAGAAAAUGACGGUACCUGAGUAAGAAGCCCCGGCUAACUACGUGCCAGCAGCCGCGGUAAUACGUAGGGGGCAAGCGUUAUCCGGAAUUACUGGGUGUAAAGGGAGCGUAGACGGUGAUGUAAGUCUGGAGUGAAAGGCGGGGGCCCAACCCCCGGACUGCUCUGGAAACUAUGUGACUGGAGUGCAGGAGAGGUGAGCGGAAUUCCUAGUGUAGCGGUGAAAUGCGUAGAUAUUAGGAGGAACACCAGUGGCGAAGGCGGCCUGCUGGACUGCAACUGACGUUGAGGCUCGAAGGCGUGGGGAGCAAACAGGAUUAGAUACCCGAGUA